rnacentral:pre_miRNA from 1 species
AGUGGUAUAUCCUGGGUCAAAUGGUGGUUCCAUUCCAAGUUUUCUGAGGAAUUGCCAUACAGUUUUCCAAAGUGGUUGUACCAAUUUGCAGUCCCACCAGCAAU